UACAGAGGGGGCGAGCGUUAUUCGGAAUUAUUGGGCGUAAAGGGCGCGUAGGCGGCUAAGUAAGUCUCGGGUGAAAUCCCUCGGCUCAACCGAGGAACUGCCUUGGAAACUGCUUGGCUUGAGGCCGGGAGAGGAUGGUGGAAUUCCCAGUGUAGCGGUGGAAUGCGUAGAUAUCGGGAAGAAUACCGGUGGCGAAGGCGUUCCGCUGGGCCGUUGCUGACGCUGAGGCGCGACAGCGUGGGGAGCAAACAGG
rnacentral:rRNA from 1 species